rnacentral:rRNA from 1 species
UAGUGGCCCACCAAGGCGACGACGGGUAGCCGGCCUGAGAGGGUGACCGGCCACACUGGGACUGAGACACGGCCCAGACUCCUACGGGAGGCAGCAGUGGGGAAUAUUGCGCAAUGGGCGAAAGCCUGACGCAGCGACGCCGCGUGGGGGAUGACGGCCUUCGGGUUGUAAACCUCUUUCAGCAGGGACGAAGCGAAAGUGACGGUACCUGCAGAAGAAGCACCGGCCAACUACGUGCCAGCAGCCGCGGUAAUACGUAGGGUGCAAGCGUUGUCCGGAAUUAUUGGGCGUAAAGAGCUCGUAGGCGGUUUGUUGCGUCGGCUGUGAAAACCUGAGGCUCAACCUCAGGCCUGCAGUCGAUACGAGCAGACUAGAGUGUUGCAGGGGAGACUGGAAUUCCUGGUGUAGCGGUGAAAUGCGCAGAUAUCAGGAGGAACACCGGUGGCGAAGGCGGGUCUCUGGGCAACAACUGACGCUGAGGAGCGAAAGCGUGGGGAGCGAACAGGAUUAGAUACCCUGGUAGUCCACGCCGUAAACGUUGGGCGCUAGGUGUGGGGCUCAUUCCACGAGUUCCGUGCCGCAGCUAACGCAUUAAGCG